UUUCAUAUUCAUUAGAUGCAGUAUGAUUGAUUUAUUGAUUUAACUUGUUUAUUUCUUGAUAAAUGGUUUUAAAUAAGUUAUAAUUUUUAUGUAGGUGUAAAAAUAGAAAAUAUGGUUCCACUACCUUUAUAUGUUGAUGUUGUGUCCUUUGGAAUCUUAAUAUGGCCAUAUGUUUAUAGAAAAUAUUCAAUUCUAGAUUUAUCUUGCUCUAACAUGCUCUAUUGCCAUAUAAAAU
rnacentral:lncRNA from 1 species